rnacentral:rRNA from 1 species
UUAGCAUAUCAAUAAGCGGAGGAAAAGAAACUAACAGGGAUUGCCCUAGUAACGGCGAGUGAAGCGGCAACAGCUCAAAUUUGAAAUCUGGCCUCGGCCCGAGUUGUAAUUUGCAGAGGAUGCUUUUGGUGCGGUGCCUUCCGAGUUCCCUGGAACGGGACGCCACAGAGGGUGAGAGCCCCGUAUGGUCGGACACCAAUCCUGUGUAAAGCUCCUUCGACGAGUCGAGUAGUUUGGGAAUGCUGCUCUAAAUGGGAGGUAAAUCUCUUCUAAAGCUAAAUACCGGCCAGAGACCGAUAGCGCACAAGUAGAGUGAUCGAAAGAUGAAAAGCACCUUGAAAAGGGGGUUAAACAGUACGUGAAAUUGUUGAAAGGGAAGCACUUGUGACCAGACUUGGGCCGGGCGGCUCAUCAGGGGUUCUCCCCUGUGCAUUCCGCCCGGUACAGGCCAGCAUCGGUUCUUACCGGGGGAUAAGAACGGCAGGAACGUGGCUCCCUCUCGGGGGAGUGUUAUAGCCUGCCGUACGAUACCCUGGCGGGGACCGAGGUUCGCGCUUCCGCAAGGAUGCUGGCGUAAUGGUUACUAGUGACCCGUCUUGAAACACGGACCAAGGAGUCGUCCAUUAGAGCGAGCGUUUGGGUGUAAAACCCGCACGCGUAAUGAAAGUGAAAUUAGGUGAGAGCUUCGGCGCAUCAUCGACCGAUCCUGAUGUUCUCGGAUGGAUUUGAGUAAGAGUUUUAACGGACGGACCCGAAAGACAGUGAACUAUGCUUGUAUAGGGUGAAGCCAGAGGAAACUCUGGUGGAGGCUCGCAGCGGUUCUGACGUGCAAAUCGAUCGUCAAAUAUGAGCAUGGGGGCGAAAGACUAAUCGAACUGUCUAGUA